rfam:Felis catus isolate Cinnamon breed Abyssinian chromosome D2, whole genome shotgun sequence.
GCCUGGGUGGCUCAGUCGGUUGAGCGUCCGCCUUCAGCUCAGGUCACGAUCUCACGGUACGUGGGUUCGAGCCCCGCGUCGGGCU